CUGCCUACAUAUAUUGUUUGGAUGGAGCUCUAACAUCAGAGCAGGUUUCCAGAGUUACAAUAACAGAAAGGAAUGCAUUAGGAUAAUUAGUGUCGUCUCUAGUUCCCCCGGGUUGGGCCCCCUCAGCGGGGAAGGCCCUCUCCAAAUGAAUGAAAAGAAACCAAUUCAAAUCAAGCUGCAUAGGUUAUCAGAUGAAAAUAACACAUAUCCCCAUUAAAAUCAAUAGUGAUUGCAUUAUCACAGAGGGUAUUUUCUCUGAUCUGAUGCAGCGCGAGGCACAACAAGCUAUGUAUAAAUAGGGCAUGUUUGCCCUGCCGACUACGCCAGUUAUUCUGACGGGGGAAAUGUACUCUACAUACUUGUGUUUCUUGCUUUUAGAAAUACCUCUCUUGAACAGAUCUAAUCAUGUAAGACAGGAGUUUACACCUGCAGUUGCAUUUGCUCCAUGUGAAUAUAAGACAUGGCAGAUAAUGUUUGUACAAUGUGAGCUGUGCUGUAUCCCACAACCUAUUAGGGCCCGGGGCAAUACUCGUUAGUAUCAUGGCAAGAAAACAAAACAAAAAGUGGAUUUAACUUCUUUAGGAAAACAGCCCUAAUGUUGGAAACAUCAUAAUGUUGUCAUCCAGAGUCACAUGUAUUUAUUUUCCAAGCUAUAGCACACAGUAUUUUAUAUAGAGCAGGUUUUUAAAGGACCAAAGAGUCUGUGUCAUGUUUUCAUUACUGCCACGGAAAAAAUAUUGCGAUACUGGUUUUGUUCCGGCCCUACUACCUAUGGAUCCAUUCGUUGACUCACUUCAAAUGGCUUCUAAGAGGUUCUAAUACGGUGCUUUUCUAUGUCCAAUAGUUUACAGUUGUUUUGACUCAUUCUGGAUGGUCCACUGUUAACUCAUGUCUAUGGAAAUAAAAUGAAUGUAAUAACAGAUUGAAAUGUAAAAAUAGUAAUAAUAACCUCUUCUACUGAGGAACAGCUUGUGAACCAUCAGAAAAUCAUCUAAAACAACAAUCACCGUUUCAAGAAUCAAAAGGAGACAUUUUUCAAAUUAAAUGAGGAUUUUGUGAGGGAAUGGUUUAUCAAAAGAGUAAAUCCAUUUUUAAAUGAAUGUCUUUUUGGUUUCACUAACUGUUCAUUAGCGAGUGUUGAGAAGUAUGUAAUAGGAACAUUUUCCAUCUCUGAACAAUAUUCUUCAAUUAGACCUUUGGAAUACUUGUACCGCAUGUAAGCUGUGUUCUUGACACGCAUUUCUGCACACAUGCCAGAAGUAACACAACCAAUGCCAGUCUUUCCAACACUGGCUCAAAAAACAAGAAUUCUGAGCGCUUAUCUUUAUUAAAAGCUGUAUAUCUGAAAUGGGGACAUUUGCACGACAGACUGCUACAGACUGUUAUGUAGCCUGUGCGUUGUUGUUGCCGUGAAACCUGGAUCGAGCGCACUUCCAGGCGCAGAUUGAUAAAGCAAUCUGCAUAUUUUACACAUAAACAGGAAGCAAAUGUUUGGUGGGAAUUGUAGGGCACUGCAUCUACACCUAGAAGAAGCCAUACACAACAUGACCCAUUCUGUAAGGCUGAGAAGCAAACUGAGAAGAGUGGAAGAUGCUGAAUAUAUCACGGCCAGAGCUUUAAAACUUGCCUCAAAGUGCUUCUAAAGUUACGUUUUUUUCUCUCGUUUUUAUUUUAGAUUUUUGAGUCAUAUAAUUUGAUGUACAGACCAGAUGGCAUGGGAAAUGGACAUUCUCAGUGUAAUAAAUGGAAUCAUCUCAACAAACUACGAGUUCGGAGUGAAUCCUCACUUUAAGAUGCAGCAUUCAGAACAGCAUUCAGAACAGUCGUUUAGCCGAGGUCAGGUGUUGUUCGGCUAAAUGAGGUCAGGUGUUGUUCAGCUAAACGAGGUCAGGUGUUGUUCGGCUGAAUGAGGUCAGGUGUUGUUUGGCUAAAUGAGGUCAGGUGUUGUUCAGCUAAACGAGGUCAGGUGUUGUUCGGCUGAAUGAGGUCAGGUGUUGUUCAGCUAAACGAGGUCAGGCGUUGUUCGGCUGAACGAGGUCAGGCGUUGUUCGGCUGAACGAGGUCAGGCGUUGUUCGGCUGAACGAGGUCAGGCGUUGUUCGGCUGAACGAGGUCAGUCGUUGUUCGGCUGAACGAGGUCAGGUGUUGUUCGGCGGUCACUAGCGGUCAGUAGGACACAGCGGUCACUAGGACAGGCUAGUAAAUCACAUAAAGGCAGGCGCUAAAACAACAGGUGGACAUGCCCUGAGGAAUGCAUGUGCACAGACACACACAUGUCUACAAUGCACAUACAGACAUGCACACACACAUGCUUACUAUACGUACUGUACAGACACACAUUACCCACACACACACACAUGCUUAAUAUAUAUACAUACUGUACAUACACACAUUACCCACACACACACACAUACACAUGCUUACUAUAUGUACUGUACAGACACACAUUACCCACACACACACACACACACACACACACGCUUACUAUAUAUACAUACUAUACAUACACACAUACACAUGCUUACUAUACAUACUGUACAUACACACAUUACCCCC
rnacentral:lncRNA from 1 species